rnacentral:rRNA from 1 species
AUUGAACGCUGGCGGUAGGCCUAACACAUGCAAGUCGAACGCGAAAGUCCUUCGGGAUGAGUAGAGUGGCGGACGGGUGAGUAACGCGUAGGAAUCUAUCCUGUAGUGGGGGAUAACGUUUCGAAAGGAACGCUAAUACCGCAUACGCCCCACGGGGGAAAGCGGGGGAUCUUCGGACCUCGUGCCAUAGGAGGAGCCUGCGUCGGAUUAGGUAGUUGGUGAGGUAAAGGCUCACCAAGGCGACGGUCCGUAGCUGGCCUGGGGGGAUGAUCAGCCACGCCGGAACAGAGCAACGGUCCGGACUCCGACGGGAGGCAGCAGUGGGGAAUAUUGCGCAAUGGGCGAAAGCCUGACGCAGCCAUGCCGCGUGUGUGAAGAAGGCCUUCGGGUUGUAAAGCACUUUCAGUGGGGAGGAAAAGCUGGUGGCUAAUAUCCAUCGGCCGUGACGCUACCCACAGAAGAAGCACCGGCUAAUUCCGUGCCAGCCGCCGCAGUAAAAC